AAUCUGUUCGCGCCGGAGAAGCUGGAGUCGGAGAAGCCGCGGUCGCCGCCGUCGGGACCUGCAAGGGAAGUCUAAACCGGAGGUGGGGUUGCUCCGGCAAGACCCUCCGACGCUCAAGUCAGUACUCUGCCUCAACAAGAAUGGAGUGCUCGAACGGAGAAUUUAGCAGAGUUUUGAGAUAGAAAAAAGAGCUUAGAGAAUAACGUAUCUGGGUCCCCCUUUUAUAGGCGGAGGAGGCAACGGAUUGAUGGCGACGUUUGUAACCGUCUGGUAGUGGGCCGCCCGUAGUCAGGGAAAUUGAUUGCAAAGGAUAGUGGAGUAGACGCGUGGCCAUCACGGAGGCUUGCCACAUGGAAUCUGUUAU
rnacentral:lncRNA from 1 species